UACGUAGGGUGCAAGCGUUGUCCGGAAUUAUUGGGCGUAAAGAGCUCGUAGGCGGUUUGUCGCGUCUGGUGUGAAAAUCCAGGGCUUAACCCUGGACCUGCAUCGGGUACGGGCAGACUAGAGUGCGGUAGGGGAGACUGGAAUUCCUGGUGUAGCGGUGAAAUGCGCAGAUAUCAGGAGGAACACCGAUGGCGAAGGCAGCUCGCUGGGACGGUACUGACGCUGAGGCGCGAAAGCGUGGGGAGCAAACAGG
rnacentral:rRNA from 1 species